CUACAAUAAAGGCAUCCAUCGAGAAAGACAUGAGCCUUCCAGCCACACCAAGACUCAUAAUGCUUGGUCACAAUUUUUCUCUUCCACAAAGUGGAUGGUAAGCAUUGAGGGAAAGGUGGCCUAUGUUUUGGAUGAGCACCUGGGAUGUGCAGAUGCCUUUCUGUAUUCUUCAUCUUCUUCUACGUUUUCAACAUUGAAUACAAGGGGAGACUGCCUGUGCAACACUGGAACUCAUAAAACAGUUUUUCUUGAGGAUAAACCCAGAGGAGGGAACAAAAUGAACCGCCAAAACCGGAGUGAGUCGGAAGACAGGGGAAGUUGUGAAGAGAAAGACAACAGUAAUAAACAACCGUGUCAUCCUUUCUUCGCCACCUAAUGGAGUUUGAGUGGAGAAACUCGGACUAGAGGGACUUCUGACAGAUUCCUGCCAUAAUGAAGAAUAUUCCUGGUUGUUUCAAGUCAUCAAAUGUGCCAGGUUUAUUGACUUCCAAAGAAGAAGAAAAACUUGAGUACCUAUCUACUUUCUCAAUUUAUUGGCUUUGGACAUUAAGGUUUUAGUCAUGUAUACGAGUAUUUUACACCAAAUUUACAGUAUUUUUAAGUGACGUAUUUCUCAUGUAUUUUCCUAUGAAUUUAAUACUUUAAUGCACAUUCAAUAAUAUGUUAUUUUGUCAAUUCUUUAAUUUAUUCCUUGUUAAUGGAUGUAAAUGUUAAAUCCAGUAUACAGACAAAGGACAAAAAAAUGUUGCACUGUCCCAGCAUUGUAUCUUUAACGACAGUUCUUUAUGCAUAGUCCAGAUACUUUGUUUUGUAAAUGUGAUUUUCUGCAGUGUUUUUGCCAUUGAAUGCACUCUAAUUGCUUUUAUACAUGUAAAUUCAUGCUCUAUUUUUUUUUUUUUUUUUGAAAAUAAGAUAUGAAUUGAGAAAGUUUUAAAAUGAACUUUCACACAUUUACAUUUUUCAAGUUAAAGUAUUUGCAAUGCUUUAAAUAAAGAAUUUCAUGUUUCAUAAUAAUUGUGUCUUUUUGGACUAAAUGUCAGGACUUGUGUAGGAUAAAAAUUAUAAAAGUGUAAUUUUAAUUUAGUAAGAAUUAAUGAUUGAUUAGGAUUAAUGUAUUGUUAACCAAGGUGUUUUUACAGUAAUGGUAAUAAUACUGUAUUAUAUGAUUACAGUAACAUGUAAUUACUGUAAAACAUGAUUACAGUAACAUGUAGUUACUGUAAAACUAAAAUGCGGUUCUUGUACUGUAAAUCUCAAAUACAGUAACUUACUGGCAACAGUGUUGCCAGUAAGUUACUGUAAAAAACCCUUGUAAAGUCUAACAGUGUAUACAAGCAAUGGAGUCUCUUGAGAAGGCCGAUCAGAGCAAACAGCUUACAGUAAAGAAGCAGAUUCAUAACCAGGAAGAACUGGUAAAGAGCUAUAUUUAGCUGGUGGAUCUCACUUUCCCAGAAAACAUGUUCUGGUGACGUGAUUUC
rnacentral:lncRNA from 1 species